AUGCUUGACGAGACCACCUCAGCAGCUCCAAGACCUAAAUUCAUCAGUAUGCACAACAUUGUGCAUAUUGACGAAAAGUGGUUCUAUAUGACAAAAAUGAACAGAUGCUACUAUCUCCUCCCCGAGGAAGAUGACCCGGUCAGAACUGUUCGAAACAAAAACUGUAUUGAGAAAGUGAUGUUUCUGACCGCUGUCGUUCGACCUAGAUAUGACGCUGAAGGCAAUAUGACAUUCUCAGGUAAAAUUGGUGUCUGGCCCUUUGUGCAAGAGAUUCCUGCUGCUAGAAGAAGUGAGUAUAGAGCAAGAGGGACCAUUGAAAUCAAGUCCGUCAAUGUGAACCGAUGGGUAAUGAGGAGGUAUAUGAUAGAAAAAGUGGUUCCUGGAAUAAAGGAAGUCUGGCCCGCAGAUGAUACUAAUCCAAUAUUGAUCCAGCAAGAUAAUGCAGGAACGCACAUUCUUCCUGAUGAUGCAGAGUUUGCAGAAGCUGUGGCUACAACUGGUCUGGACAUUAAAAUAAUGAACCAGCCUCCAAAUUCUCCUGAUCUAAACGCACUUGAUCUUGGAUAUUUCAGAUCCCUUGAGUCUUUGACCGACUGUAGAGCACCCACAACUAUCAAAGAACUGAUUCAAGGUGUGCAGGAAGAAUUUGAUGAGUAUGAUGCCAGAAAACUCAACAGAAUAUUUCUAACACUUCAGACCGUCAUGGUAGAAGUGAUGAACCAUGGAGGGGAAAAUUCAUACAAAAUUCCACACUUGCGCAAGGAUAGAUUGGAAAGGCAAGGAAUCCUACCACCUAGGAUUCACUUUCCCCGUGAAGUUUAUGAACAUGCCAUGGAUAUUCUAGAACAAGAUAUCAUGGAGUAG
rnacentral:rRNA from 1 species